AAAAUGACUGGAGGAAUGUAGCUUCGAUCUCGUAUUGAAGUGUUAUAGCUUUGGUAGAUGUGAUGUUUGAGACCGAGGAUUGCAACGGAUACCCAUUCAGGGCUAUUCUCUGAUCUCUGAUACGUUGCCUUGAUGUUGAAAGCUUGCUUAUGAUGUUAGGGUAUUACGUCAAAAGGUUAGAACGAAUUACAUUCGUUAAGGAUGUUGACGUAAUGACUUUAAACGA
rnacentral:rRNA from 1 species